AAAUUGAAGAGUUUGAUCAUGGCUCAGAUUGAACGCUGGCGGCAGGCCUAACACAUGCAAGUCGAACGGUAACAGGAAGCAGCUUGCUGCUUUGCUGACGAGUGGCGGACGGGUGAGUAAUGUCUGGGAAACUGCCUGAUGGAGGGGGAUAACUACUGGAAACGGUGGCUAAUACCGCAUAACGUCGCAAGACCAAAGAGGGGGACCUUCGGGCCUCUUGCCAUCAGAUGUGCCCAGAUGGGAUUAGCUUGUUGGUGAGGUAACGGCUCACCAAGGCGACGAUCCCUAGCUGGUCUGAGAGGAUGACCAGCCACACUGGAACUGAGACACGGUCCAGACUCCUACGGGAGGCAGCAGUGGGGAAUAUUGCACAAUGGGCGCAAGCCUGAUGCAGCCAUGCCGCGUGUAUGAAGAAGGCCUUCGGGUUGUAAAGUACUUUCAGCGGGGAGGAAGGUGUUGUGGUUAAUAACCGCAGCAAUUGACGUUACCCGCAGAAGAAGCACCGGCUAACUCCGUGCCAGCAGCCGCGGUAAUACGGAGGGUGCAAGCGUUAAUCGGAAUUACUGGGCGUAAAGCGCACGCAGGCGGUCUGUCAAGUCGGAUGUGAAAUCCCCGGGCUCAACCUGGGAACUGCAUUCGAAACUGGCAGGCUUGAGUCUUGUAGAGGGGGGUAGAAUUCCAGGUGUAGCGGUGAAAUGCGUAGAGAUCUGGAGGAAUACCGGUGGCGAAGGCGGCCCCCUGGACAAAGACUGACGCUCAGGUGCGAAAGCGUGGGGAGCAAACAGGAUUAGAUACCCUGGUAGUCCACGCCGUAAACGAUGUCUACUUGGAGGUUGUGCCCUUGAGGCGUGGCUUCCGGAGCUAACGCGUUAAGUAGACCGCCUGGGGAGUACGGCCGCAAGGUUAAAACUCAAAUGAAUUGACGGGGGCCCGCACAAGCGGUGGAGCAUGUGGUUUAAUUCGAUGCAACGCGAAGAACCUUACCUGGUCUUGACAUCCACGGAAGUUUUCAGAGAUGAGAAUGUGCCUUCGGGAACCGUGAGACAGGUGCUGCAUGGCUGUCGUCAGCUCGUGUUGUGAAAUGUUGGGUUAAGUCCCGCAACGAGCGCAACCCUUAUCCUUUGUUGCCAGCGGUCCGGCCGGGAACUCAAAGGAGACUGCCAGUGAUAAACUGGAGGAAGGGUGGGGAUGACGUCAAGUCAUCAUGGCCCUUACGACCAGGGCUACACACGUGCUACAAUGGCGCAUACAAAGAGAAGCGACCUCGCGAGAGCAAGCGGACCUCAUAAAGUGCGUCGUAGUCCGGAUUGGAGUCUGCAACUCGACUCCAUGAAGUCGGAAUCGCUAGUAAUCGUGGAUCAGAAUGCCACGGUGAAUACGUUCCCGGGCCUUGUACACACCGCCCGUCACACCAUGGGAGUGGGUUGCAAAGAAGUAGGUAGCUUAACCUUCGGGAGGGCGCUUACCACUUUGUGAUUCAUGACUGGGGUGAAGUCGUAACAAGGUAACCGUAGGGGAACCUGCGGUUGGAUCACCUCCUUACCUU
rnacentral:rRNA from 1 species